rnacentral:rRNA from 1 species
UACGUAGGGAGCGAGCGUUGUCCGGAUUCAUUGGGCGUAAAGAGCUCGUAGGCGGCUUGGCAAGUCGGGUGUGAAAACUCCAGGCUCAACCUGGAGACGCCACCUGAUACUGCCAUGGCUAGAGUCCGGUAGGGGACCACGGAAUUCCUGGUGUAGCGGUGAAAUGCGCAGAUAUCAGGAGGAACACCGGUGGCGAAGGCGGUGGUCUGGGCCGGUACUGACGCUGAGGAGCGAAAGCGUGGGGAGCGAACAGG